rnacentral:lncRNA from 1 species
CUGGUGUCCCAAUAACACUAAAGGAACAGAAGACAGGCAUCAUCUCAGCCUUUGGGAAGCUUCUUCUACAGACACGGAGAUAAAGUGAACAUCUCAAAGCAUCUUACUCUUUCUCUUCCAGUGUGAAGUGAGGAGCUUGUUUUUAUCACAUGUAUCCUCUUACUACAUGGGAAAUCUCUCUCUCUGCUAAUUGCUGUCAUCAUCCAUCAAGAUCACCAACAGAGCAGCAUUCCAGCCAGAGAGGCCUUGGGGCCCAGAUGAUGCUACCCUGAAUUAGCCCAGCAGGUGUAACUUGGCUCACACCUCUGACUGAGCUGGCAGGCGUCUCUUAAGACUGUUGAAGUGUGGGGCUGAGUGUCCCA